rnacentral:rRNA from 1 species
UGGGGAAUUUUGCACAAUGGAGGAAACUCUGAUGCAGCGACGCCGCGUGAGUGAUGAAGAUCUUCGGAUUGUAAAACUCUGUCCUUAGUGAAGAUAAUGACAGUAACUAAGAAGCAAGCCCUGGCUAAAUACGUGCCAGCAGCCGCGGUAAUACGUAUGUGGCAAGCGUUGUCCGGAAUUAUUGGGCGUAAAGGGUACGUAGGCGGUUUAAUAAGUCCUAAUUAAAAGGCUAUGGCUCAACCAUAGUAUGGUUAGGAAACUGUUGAACUUGAGUAGAUGAGGGGAAAGUGGAAUUACAUGUGUAGCGGUGAAAGGCGAAGAUAUAUGGAGGAACACCAAUGGCGGAGGGAACAUUCUGGAAUCAAACUGACGCAGAGGUAAGAAAGGGUGGGGAGGAAACAGG